GUUAUUGUAGCUUACCAUAAAGCAUGGCACUGAAGUUGCCAAGAUGGGUGGGCAACACACCCCGAAAACA
rnacentral:tRNA from 1 species